rnacentral:misc_RNA from 1 species
GGAGCUGGUGAACACCUCAACGAGCCACGAGGCGCCGUUGCCUUGGCCGCUAAUCCACCGAAAGUUGCUACUGUUCGCGUAGACACGUGCAUUCGCACAAACUCUCACCCACAUACGUGCCCCCUCGCCUCUACUUGGAAGGCACAGGCACCAAAUAUCGGGCCUCUAAACCGAAAGGAAAACAACAUCAGCAGCUAACGACGGCGGAAACAGCCGAGAACGAGGCGUUGCGGCCGCCACCCAUAGCCCUCGCGCGUGCUUCCCACCCCGCGUCUCCAAUCAAAAUGGGGUGCCGCAGUAGCUGUAUGCUGUGGCUUGCUGUCGCAGCUUUGGCCGUUUUGACACUUCAGCUGCGUAGCGCUGCCGCAGCGCCCAUGGAUCUUUCCAACCCUGUCGAGCACAAUCAUUUUCUUCUGUUAGCACCCUAUGGCGCUAGUCAUCGAUCGGGCGCCGGCGCUGACGGGGAAAACACAGCGCGAUAUGUGCAGCUGAGCAACGGCUCUCGAUUUAUGUGCGAGACCGCGAGCACAAAGCGCCGUGAGCCCCUCGACGCCAAAAGCUACCCACUGCGACAUCAAAUGGAGUCCUUGAUGACCGUUAUGCGGCGUUCCGACCAUCCGUGCGUGCACUACGCAGAGGAGAAUUACGUGACGGUCUACUGCUGGGACAACGAGGUGCGCGAGGAUGCUCUUUCAGAAAACAAAGGCCGCUCCCUGGGGAGGCGGCGGAUCGACGGACCUCAAAUCUACUGGACCUCCAACGACGCGUUCGGCCGGUACGUCGCAACCGUCUACGGCGACGGUGACGAGUGCCCCUACGACAAGGGACGCCGCAUAGAGACGGAGGUGCGCUUCCACUGCCGGUACUCCGAGUUCGAGAACCCGAUUCCGUACAUGAGUCUUCACGAGUCGUCGCAGUGCCGCUAUAUGCUGCGCCUUCUGUCAAGUAAGUUCUGUUCCGUGCCCCAGCUGGAUCACCCAAGCGAGGAGGAGACGGUGCGGUGCCAGAUGUUGGAUGAUUAGCAGAUCAUCGGCGCGCGCGUCUGUUUGUGACUUUGCCGAUGGAGAGGGCGAGCUAGCUCUCCGACGUAUAUGUGCUGCUACUGUGGCUCUCUCAACUCUUCUUUAUAUCCUUGCUGUGGCGUGCAUUAGCUGCGGCGCACUACUCGAGUGCUGCUGUAAGGUUGCUGCUUGUCGCGUGUGUGUUGUGUGUGCAUGCCUUCCUCUUCAUGAGCGGCAGUGCAUCGGCAUUUUGUCUGGCCGAUUGCCGCUUUUGCGGUCUGGUGAGCAGCCUGAUGUACAAUGCCCCUGCUGGUCUGUGAGGAGAACGUGUGUGUAGUAUGCGUGUGCAUGCAUAUCCAUGCACCUCUAGCCAUCAACUCUUUUUCGCUUGAGUGUCUAUGCAGCCUCUCGACACUGAUUACGUGGGGGAACACCUCAACGGGGCGUCUCAGGGUCUAGUACGCCCCAAAUCUGUGUGAGGGAGGCCAGGCAGCCCCACCUAUCCCUGGCAAUGCUCAAUCGCUUCACGUGGUGACAGGGUCAGGCCCUGGACGGUGUUGCGUCGGAGCGACCGGCGACGGUGAGCACUCUUGUGCCAUCCAUAUGAUUAGACAGAGUGCCCACCUGACUCGGACGCAUCCCACCCCCGGCCCUCACGCGCUGCCCACUGGUGUCGGGGGAACCUGAGUGCCACCGCGCGGGGGAUGCGCCACGUGGCGACCGGCACGAUGGGGGAGCGGCUAUGGGGUGGUUGGGUAUCGCACGAGGCAGAGGCCGUGCUCUCCGAUGACUGGGCCGGCGCACUGCUGUUUCACGUCUGUCUGUGGCCGCUUCGCACCACGCGAUGUGGAGCCUGUGACAGGGCCGCGGGAGCGGUGAUGUAGCGUUUGAUCUCGUGCUUCGUGGCAGCGAACGGGCACGUCGAAUAUGACACGAAAAAAAAAACAGAUAAACGCUGCUGUGUGAGAGAUGGAAAGGCGCACACAGCCACACAUCAU